AAAGAAAGCAGAAAGGAUAUAGAAAUUUUCAGUUGUGAGGUCCAAAGCUUACAAAAUGCUGACAUCGCCCAAAUAAAGAUCAGCUAUGGAGAAACAACAAUUAAUCUGCGAAUUUUGUCGACAUUACAUAAAUUCCUUCUGAUUCUGCGGCUGUUGCUAAUACCCUGCGUUAUUGCUGCGCUGGUGGCUAUAUGUCUUUGGAAAAAA